ACAGCCAACUAAUUAUAUUUAAAGCCCAAACUACUAACUAAACCCUAAGUAUUUAUUUCUAGUGAAACCCUAAAUGAGUUUUUGUUACAGCCGUUCAACAUCAUCCCUCUCAAAUGUCCUUGCACUUCAUCUUCUCCAACAAACCAAACCCCAGCCCCUUUUCCCUGCUCUCUCCCUCUCGUUCAUGUAUCCGACAACCGGAGCCGGAAUUUCGGCCGAGCUCCGGCAUUCCUGUCUUCUCCGGCAAACCCCCACCCCUUCACAACCAUCUCCCUCACACUCACCCCUCCCUCUCUCGACUCUCGCUCUGAUGAACGAAUGGUCGGCCACCAUCAUCGGUGGCGGCGCUCGGUGACGGCGACAGAACCACCUCAGCGGCAGCGUAGUUGUGGGUGGCGUUUCAGUGGUGGUUGCGGUCAAGAGACGGUGGUUACGGGCAGUGGCAGCGGCGACGACAAAGACGAUGGUUCUGCCGUUCUUUUUCGGAUAACCGCUCUCGUUCGUUCUCUUGGACUUCCGUUUACUCAUGCACCAUCGUUUGCCCAUAUAGGGUGACCGCGGUGUUCCAUCCUCUUAAACUCGUACGCUCGUCAACACUUGGAUAAUCGGAAGAUUUAGCAAUUAUGUUGAUUAAUGAAGUAUGGAUGAUUGAUGAAACAAGUUUAGGGUGGACUAGA